rnacentral:lncRNA from 1 species
UGUGAGUCAAAUCCAGCAACUCUUACAUGCUGUGUACUUACUUCGAGACAGUCUCACUUUGCAGCCCAGGCUACCCUCAGGCUACUCAGCCUGGUGGCUCAGCAUCCUCUGGUUUACAAGUGUGCAGCACCAUGCAAGACUUGUUAUAUCUUACUGUAAAGUAGUACAGUAUGGGGUUUUUGUUAGUGCAGAUUUAAGAGCCCAGCUCCUGUACCCUCACACGCCUAAGCUCUUUAAUGCAUUCUGACUUAUUCCUCACCUAGUAGCUUCAUAGAAUUCAGGGAGAAAAGAAUUGUUUCCUCUACUUUUCCCCAAGAUAAACCAGGACUUUUCUAGGGAACAGCUUGCUGAUGAUAGGUGGAACUGUGAAUCUUACUUGGCCUCAAAGCAUAGAAUACUCACAUUCUGUAUAUACUAGUGAGAUAGUCCUCUGUGUGAUUGGUGCAUCUUUCCAAAUUCUGCUAUUGGAUGAUAAUUUUAUUAAUUUUUAUUUACAUUCUCAAAGUCAGUUGCUGUGAGUGGCAAUGUGUGCUUAUGCUGCAGCACUGCUAGGCAGGCUCAUGAGACUUGAGAGCUGGAGGCCAGGGCAAGAGAGACAGGAAUGUGUCACCAGGAUUCAGAGCACAGACCGACGGUGUGUCUGAUUUGGACAUUUGACUGAUAAUAAGAAUUUAUUUUGUUACCAUGGUCUGCUUUCUGCGUUUUAUUUACAUGAUGUGUCUUUGACAUCAAUUUUACAUUCAGCAGAGAUCCCCUAACUAAUAGCAGGAUAAGGGAGAUUGAGAUUGGUGCUGGACAGACAGCCUACUGCUUAGUGUUCUUGCAGCUACCUGCGUCAGAUUCUCAAACCCACAUCAUGGCUCACAGCUGCUUGUAUCUCCUGCCACAGGGGACCCUCUAAUUGGCCUCUGAUGUGUAUGUGUACAGACAUACACAUACAAUUAAAAUAUAUUUCUUUAAAAAAUAAGCUCUUGCUGGGCAGUGGUAGCACAUGCCUUUAAUCCUAGCACUCCGGAGAAAGGCAGGCCAAUUUCUAUGAGUUCAGGGCCAGCCUGGUCUACAGAGUGAGUUCCAGGACAGCCAGGGCUGCAUAAACACUAUUUCU